UCUUUGGAGCCAGAUGGCACGCAAUACGUCUGAAGCUAAAUCCAGUCUUGUGACAGUGGUCAUCGCCAGCGAGGAACCACUUGGUCUGUGACGCCAAACUAUUCGGUUCUUUGGAAAAUAUAAAAACACAUAAGAAGGCUGAGUGCCGAAGAACUGAUGCUUUCGAACUGUGGUGUUGGAUAAAACUCUUGAGAGUCCCUUGGACAGCAAGGAGACCAAACCAGUCCAUCUUAAAGGAAAUCAACCCCAAAUAUUCACUGGAAGGACUGAUGCUGAAGCUCCAAUACUUUGGCCAUCUGAUGUGAAAAGCCAACUCAUUGGAAAAGACCCUGACUCUGGAAACAUUGAGGGCAAGAAGAGAAGGGGUGACAGAAAAUGAGACGGUUGGAUGGCAUCACUGACUUAAUGGACAUAGUUUGAGCAAACUCUGGGAGAUAGUAAAGGACAGGGAAGCCUGACGUGCUGCAGUCCAUGGGGUCGCAAAGAUUAGGACAUGACUUAGCAACUGAGCUACUGUAAAACAACAAGAUAUGACACAACAAAGAAUGUAAAGAAAAAAAUUAAGGCUCUCAAAUAAAGAUAAAAUCAAGCAAUAAUAUGGGUAGUGG
rnacentral:lncRNA from 1 species